AAACGCUGAAGGCAUCUAAGCGUGAAGCCCCCCUUAAGAUGAGAUAUCCCAUUCGAAAGAAGUAAACCCCCUUGAAGACGACGAGGUAGAUAGGGCAGAGGUGGAAGUGUGGCAACACAUGGAGCUGACUGUUACUAAUCGGGUGAGGGCUUGACCAAAA
rnacentral:rRNA from 3 species